rnacentral:rRNA from 1 species
GUGCAGCAGGCGCGAAAACUUUACAAUGUGCGAAAGCGACGAUAAGGGAACUCUGAGUGCCCUCCUAAGGAGGCUGUUCAGGUGUCUAAAAAGCACCUGGAGGAAGGGCUGGGUAAGACCGGUGCCAGCCGCCGCGGUAACACCGGCAGCCCAAGUGGUAGCCACGUUUAUUGGGUCUAAAGCGUCCGUAGCCGGCUGGGUAAGUUCCUUGGGAAAUUUGGCUGCUUAGCAGUCAAGCUUUCAGGGAAUACUGCCCGGCUUGGGGACCGGGAGUAGGUCAGGAGGUACUCCAGGGGUAGGGUGAGAUCCAUUAAUCCUUGGGGGACCACCGGUAGCGAAGGCGUCUGACCAGACC